AUGAAAACGGUUUGCUAUUCACUUGACCCAGAAAACUCCACAAAAUCAUGCCAACCAACAGGUUCAAAUCUUUGUGUUCAUUUUAAGAACACUCGUGAGUCUGCCCAGGCCAUCAAGGGUAUGCACAUACAAAAAGCCACUAAAUAUGUCACUUUAUAGAAACAGUGUUCACUAUUCUAAUGUUACAAGGGUGGAGUUGAUAAGUGUGUCCAGGACAAACAGUGGGGUUGGACACAGGGUCAGUGGUCCAAAAAGAGUGCUGAAUUUUUGCUGCAUGUGCUUAAAAAUGCAGAAUUAUGCUGAGUGAACUUAAGGUUGUAGACAGAGAUUCUCUGGUCAUCGAGCAUAUCCAGGUGAACAAAGCACUCAGGAUGCGCCGCUGGACUUACAGAGCUCAUGGUCUGAUUAAAUCCAUACCUUAACUCCCCUGCCACACUGAGAUAAUCCUUACACAAAAGAAACAGAUUGUUCCUAAACCGGAAGAGGUGGAUCCACCGGAGAAAAAGAGAUCCCAGAAGAAACUGAAGAAACAAAAACUUAUGGUGUGAGAAUAA
rnacentral:lncRNA from 1 species